rnacentral:lncRNA from 1 species
GAAAAUUGCUCGGCCCGCCGCGGCUCCCCCCCGCGGUUUGCGGAGUGGUCGGGCCCGGCCCGCCCCUGCUGGCCGCUCUGCGUGUGUGUAUUUGUAUGUGUACUGUAUGUAAAAGGCGGGGAGGGAGGAAACGAUUGUUGUGGACGGGGUUUGGGGGCGGGUAUCCGGGCCUCCAGCCCUUGGCCGUGUGUUAGGGAGAGCCUAAGUUGUAUGUUCUCCCAUCGUUUCCCAGGGUCGGGGGCGGCUUUAAUGCUGCACUUGCGCGGUUUGCACCAUCCAAAAAAGAACUGUACAAAACCCCAUAGAAGAAAUCGGAGCGUGAGGCCGUGGCAGGGUGUGCAGCUUGUAGGCCUCCGAUACGUCGCUGAAUGAGCCUUGCAGUCUCCUUUUCCUUGAAAUUUCUAAGGUUACUUGAUAAUGGAAUUCCCACGUUUUCUUCCUGGAAAGCCCUCACCUGGGAGCACUGAUGUGCUGAAUAAUAUUCCAUAGUCUGGAUGUACCACAGUUUGUUUAUCCAUUCACCUACUGGAAGACAUCUCAGUUGCUGCCAAAUUUUG